rnacentral:rRNA from 1 species
GGCAGCCGCGGUAAUUCCAGCUCCAAUAGCGUAUAUUAAAGUUGUUGCAGUUAAAAAGCUCGUAGUUGAAUUUCGGGAUCAAUAUAUCGGUCAUGCUUAGGUAUGUACUGGUAUUAUUGAUUUCUCCCUUCUGAAGAACCAUGAUGUCAUUAAUUUGGUGUCGUGGGGAAUCAGGACUGUUACUUUGAAAAAAUUAGAGUGUUUAAAGCAGGCAUACGCUUGAAUACAUUAGCAUGGAAUAAUGAAAUAGGACGUUUGAUUCUAUUUUGUUGGUUUCUAGGAUCGACGUAAUGAUUAAUAGGGAUAGUUGGGGGCAUUAGUAUUCAAUUGUCAGAGGUGAAAUUCUUGGAUUUAUUGAAGACUAACUACUGCGAAAGCAUUUGCCAAGGAUGUUUUCAUUAAUCAAGAACGAAAGUUAGGGGAUCGAAGACGAUCAGAUACCGUCGUAGUCUUAACCAUAAACUAUGCCGACUAGGAUCGGA